CCUACGGGAGGCAGCAGUGAGGAAUAUUGGUCAAUGGGCUUACGCCUGAACCAGCCAAGUCGCGUGAGGGAAGACUGCCCUAUGGGUUGUAAACCUCUUUUGUCAGGGAGCAACGCCGGCUACGUGUAGCCGGACUGAGAGGACCUGAAGGAAAAGCAUCGGCUAACUCCGUGCCAGCAGCCGCGGUAAUACGGGGGAUGCGAGCGUUCUCCGGAUUUAUUGGGGUUAAGGGGUACGUAGGCGGCAUGCCAAGUCUGCGGUAAAAUCGCGGGGCUCAACCGCGCUCCGCCGUUGACACUGGCGUUCUUGAGUGGGCGAGAAGUAUGCGGAAUGUGUGGUGGAGCGGUGAAAUGCAUAGAGAUCACGUAGAACUCCGAUUGCGAAGGUAGCAUACCGGCGCCCAACUGACGCUGAAGCACGAAAGCGUGGGUAUCGAACAGGAGUAGAUACCCUUGUAGUC
rnacentral:rRNA from 1 species